rnacentral:lncRNA from 1 species
CCAUUUCAUAUUCUUUCUAGAGUUUUCGUGACAUAAUAUGGGUAAUAGAAAAAUAUACGUAUAUAUAUAUAUAUGUCUGUGUAUGAUAGCGAAAAAAUACCUUUGAAUUUGUUUGGUUUUAAUAGAAUGUAAAAUUAAUUCAAUAAAAAAACUGUUUUACAUCGAGUGCAACUUUUAUUUGUCAAACAGUGUAAAAAAGAGGCUGAUAAAAAAACAGUGUAAA